AUGGAUUUGGUACCAACUUUAGCUUUCAUUUUGGCCAUUUUACACGGUGUCCAGUGUGAGGUGAAGCUGGUGGAGUCUGGGGGGGAUCUGAGAAAGCCUGGGGGGUCUCUGAGACUCUCUUGUGCAGCCUCUGGAUUCACCUUCAGCGGCUAUGACAUGAGUUGGAUCCGCCAGGCCCCAGGGAAGGGCCUGCAGUGGGUCGCAUACAUUAGUAAUACUGGUGGUAGUACAUACUAUGGGGACUCCGUAAAGGGCCGAUUCACCAUCUCCAGAGACAACUCCAAGAACACACUCUAUCUUCAGAUGAACAGCCUGAAAGCCGAGGACACGGCCACGUAUUACUUACUGUUCAAGAGACACAGUGAGGGGAAGUCAGUGCAGCUUCAGGAGGCGGGUCCAGGACUGGUGAAGCCCUCCCAAAAGCUGUCCCUCACCUGCUGUGUCUCUGGUUACUCCAUCACCAGUGGUUACUGCUGGAGCUGA